rnacentral:rRNA from 1 species
AGUGAACGCUGGCGGUAGGCCUAACACAUGCAAGUCGAACGGCAGCACAGUAAGAGCUUGCUCUUACGGGUGGCGAGUGGCGGACGGGUGAGGAAUACAUCGGAAUCUACUUUUUCGUGGGGGAUAACGUAGGGAAACUUACGCUAAUACCGCAUACGACCUACGGGUGAAAGCAGGGGAUCUUCGGACCUUGCGCGAUUGAAUGAGCCGAUGUCGGAUUAGCUAGUUGGCGGGGUAAAGGCCCACCAAGGCGACGAUCCGUAGCUGGUCUGAGAGGAUGAUCAGCCACACUGGAACUGAGAAACGGUCCAGAAUCCUACGGGAGGCAGCAGUGGGGAAUAUUGGACAAUGGGCGCAAGCCUGAUCCAGCCAUACCGCGUGGGUGAAGAAGGCCUUCGGGUUGUAAAGCCCUUUUGUUGGGAAAGAAAAGCAGCAGGUUAAUACCCCGCUGUUCUGACGGUACCCAAAGAAUAAGCCCCGGCUAACUUCGUG